AUAGCUUCUCGGCCUUUUGGCUAAGAUCAAAUGUAGUAUAGAAGGAGUAAUGAGCCAAAAAUAUGUGUGUUGAGUAAACAGGUAAUUGUGUAACUAAAUUUUGUAAGAAAGCAGGAAUUACUUAUUUUAUCAAUGAAAUGUGGGAACUGUCUCACUGUCUUUGGUGUUCACUAACACAGGAAGAUAAAUCUAU